rnacentral:rRNA from 1 species
GCCCGCGACGUUGUGAGAAGUCCACUGACCCUUAUCAUUUAGAGGAAGGAGAAGUCGUAACAAGGUUUCCGUAGGUGAACCUGCGUAAGGAUCAUUG